ACGCUGGCGGCAGGCUUAACACAUGCAAGUCGAGCGCCAUUUCGGUGGAGCGGCAGACGGGUGAGUAACGCGUGGGAACGUACCUUUUGGUUCGGAAUAUUCUCGGGAAACUGAGAGCAAUACCGGAUAAGCCCUACGGGGGAAAGAUUUAUCGCCAAUAGAGCGGCCCGCGUUAGAUUAGCUAGUUGGUGGGGUAAAGGCCUACCAAGGCUACGAUCUAUAGCUGGUCUGAGAGGAUGAUCAGCCACAUUGGGACUGAGACACGGGCCCAAACUCCUACGGGAGGCAGCAGUGGGGAAUCUUGGACAAUGGGCGCAAGCCUGAUCCAGCCAUGCCGCGUGGAUGAUGAAGGCCUUCGGGUUGUAAAAUCCUUUCAACGGGGACGAUAAUGACGGUACCCGUAGAAGAAGCCCCGGCUAACUUCGUGCCAGCAGCCGCGGUAAUACGAAGGGGGCUAGCGUUGCUCGGAAUUACUGGGCGUAAAGCGCACGUAGGCGGAUAUUUAAGUCGGAGGUGAAAGCCCAGGGCUCAACCCUGGAACUGCCCUCGAUACUGGGUAUCUGGACCAAAGUAGAGGUUAGUGGAAUUCCGAGUGUAGAGGUGAAAUUCGUAGAUAUUCGGAGGAACACCAGUGGCGAAGGCGACUAACUGGACUUUUGGUGACGCUGAGGUGCGAAAGCGUGGGGAGCAAGCAGGAUUAGAUACCCUGGUAGUCCACGCCGUAAACGAUGAAUGCUAGUUGUCAGCACGCAUGCGUGU
rnacentral:rRNA from 1 species